GCGAGGGGAUAAGGGGAUAAGGGGCCCGUCCAAGUGGUCCUCACCAUCUACAAGUCGCUCGUCGCCGACCGCAUCGCCGGUGGAGUGUGAGUCCGCGGGCCACACUCUCCGCCACCGGCCACCUCCUCUCCGCCACUACUGGCUAGCGUGAUGCUGGAACGGCCGGAGAAGCUGCACGACAGGCGCGGAUAAUGCCAACAUAGAGCGGAGAGGCGGUGCUUCGGGCAGAUCUGGAGGGUGAGGGCCGGUGGAGGAGCGACAGACUGGUGGGAUCUCGACAGACCGUCGCCGCCACGACCCCCGAGCCUCUCAAAUCCUCACAGCCGCCAUGCCCCCGGGCCUCGCCAUGCCCUCGUCGCAACCACGCCCCAUGCCCUCAAAUCCGAGCCCAUCCGUGCCCUAGACGCCAACGCCGAGUGCCUCGCCGCAACUACCUCCGAGUAUUUAUCUAUCUGGGAACGCAACCGCACCCGACCUCGCGUCACCCACUUCAACCAUGCAAGUUCCCUCUGAGCCCAGGUGCAUCCGAUUCCCGACGCUCUCCCCUCCCCGCCGCCAUAGGCCUCACGUUAUCAUCCCCGUCGAGCUCCACCGGAUCGACCUCCUCACGACCGUGCUCCAGAGAUGGAGGUCCCCAGUUCGGUCCACGAGGCACUCGUGCUGCACUGCUACCCACCGAUGGACUCCCUGACGACUUUGACUCAGCACCGUCAGGUCCUUCGAGAACCAGGUCUGCCCGUCCGACUCCCAUGAAUUCGCCGAUAAGCUUUCACUGCUAAGCUUUCACCGAACAGCCUAGCUACCGAAGUCUCAGUUUUUCAUCUGCACAUUGGAUGUCGGCACCGUUGUAGAAUGGUCGGCCGCUAUCUUCUCUGAGUUCGUCUAUUUCUAACUCUCCAUCGGGGCUACAUUGUCCAUCUCUACCAGCCUGCAAUUAAGGUUAUGUGAUUUAUGUGCUUAUCACGUGCUUCUUCUUACCCAACUGCAAUCCGCAGGUUCUAAAUUCUUGCUUCCAUAUAUAUAGUUUUGUGGCUGGAGAAGAAAGUAGUGAAUGCAAUUUGGGGGCAACGAGGGAUUAUGCAAAAAAGAAAUUGAAGAUUUGUACCUACUCCAUUAGUUCGUUGCAAUACAACUAUUGAUCACUACAUUAAAGAUUAGAGCGUCACCUGAAACCAAAAUUUAGCUGUUCAUCUUAUUUGGAGCUGGCUCGUUACUCUUGAAUGUAGAGAUGGUUGUUGACUAGAAUAUUAUUUGGAGCUGUCUCGCAGAUUCACCUUCGACAUUUUUCCUGACUAGAUUCUACCAUGCUGCAGCCUGUAGGCUGUGAAGCAGGCCUCAUUGCUGAAGCUGAAGACAGUACAUUGGAUUACUACCGUCUCAAUUUUUCCCUAGCUCUAAUUAAUCUUUUACAGGAGUAGCAUGGAGACAAUGCGCAUGUUCAAGGUACUUGCAACCUAAUGACUGAUUUUGGGCAGAGAUGAUAGAGAGAUCGUCUCCUUAUCAAUAGGUGGUGUCCUCAUUCUUCUGCUAUCCUUCACAGUCAGCUCUUGCGACGCAGUUCAUUUACAAUUGGCGUACUGUUUGACCUGGUCAUUGUUAGAUUCUAAUACAACUCAUUCUAAUCUAGUUUUAUUUGAAUUUAAAUCUUGUGAAACCAGAAAACUAUAAUAAGGCAACUUGUUGCAAUAACCGUUAGAAAAAUGGUUACUUGGUGAUGUAUCCCGAAAUAAGUAGAUUAGCUGGUUACGUGAAUGAAAAUAUCGAGGUUUGAUCUU